rnacentral:piRNA from 1 species
CUCUGCUUUGUGUUAUAAAUGGAGGA